rnacentral:rRNA from 1 species
AUGCAUUCAAGUACCGUUAUUUAUCCUGAAAUUUCUGUGCACCUGCUCAUUGUCAGGCGGGGGAAUGAGACUCGAAUGGCACUAUGCUCUCUGAAAUUAGAUGUUCUUCAGAUAGCUUCCUGCUUGGGUACUGUUGGGUCUGGUGCUUGUUUGCGGGAGAUGUUGCUGGUUGAUAUCUAUCAUGAGAAGGUGUGCCAAGAGGAGCUCAGUUGUUGUCCUCAGCCAAACUCACGUACUACAAUCCCUCAACCUCCUGGGCAGGCAAGAAAUGAUAUGUGGCAAUGCGUUGCUGAGAUAUGGGAACAGUACAUCAUGGCUUUGGAUUGGCAAUCAGUUUAA